CUCUGAUAUGAGAUUUUUAAAAGACUUUUCCUUUGGACGCCAUGAUUGCGAUGCUCACAUGAUGAAGCCUCGGCCUUCUUUGUUCACAGGAAUUACAGAUUCUUUCUUAAUAGCUAAUAUGCCAACCUACUGAAUUCAUCACUUAUGCGAAAUAAGUGCAAUUUAAGCAUUUAAGGAGAACAAUACUCGCCAAGUGCUGAUAAGAGAUUAAAGCAUUUACCCAAAAGUAAUGUCAGCAGAAAUGAAAUGUCUUGACUGAGGUGACAAACGUCUGCAGUGGAGUAAGAAUUACUUAAGACACUCACCUUGCACAACUCUGCGAACUCCGAGACAAAGUUGGCACCUGGGAAGGCCAUGUGAGGACACAGUGAGAAGGCCUUGUCUACAAGCCAGGAAGAGUGGCCUCACCAGAAACCGGGUCAGCCAGCACCUUAAUUGUGGACAUCCCAGCCUCUAUAACUGAGAAAAUACAUUUCUGCUGUUUAAGCAGCCUAGUCUACGGUAUUUGUUACGGCAGAUGGUGUCUGUCAUGGCAGUCUGAGCAGAUGAAGAUAAUGUGUUAUGGAAUAUUUUAGAUGACAUAGGAGUUAAAGUUAUAAUAAACCCUUUGCC
rnacentral:lncRNA from 1 species